rnacentral:rRNA from 1 species
GUCUACGGCCAUACCACCCCGAACGAGCCCGAUCUCGUCUGAUCUCGUAAGCUAAGCAGGGUCGGGCCUGGUUAGUACUUGGAUAGGAGAGGGAAAAUGACUAGAAAUUACAGCCA